rnacentral:rRNA from 1 species
GAUGAACGCUGGCGGCGUGCCUAACACAUGCAAGUCGAGCGCGGGUAGCAAUACUCGAGCGGCGGACGGGUGAGUAACACAUGGGCAACCUGCCUUACACUGGGGGAUAACAGUGAGAAAUCACUGCUAAUACCGCAUAAGCUUACACUGUCGCAUGGCAGGGUGAGAAAAGAUUUAUCGGUGUAAGAGGGGCCCGUGUCCAAUUAGCUAGUUGGUGAGGUAACGGCCCACCAAGGCAACGAUUGGUAGCCGAUCUGAGAGGAUAAUCGGCCACAUUGGAACUGAGACACGGUCCAGACUCCUACGGGAGGCAGCAGUGGGGAAUAUUGCACAAUGGGCGCAAGCCUGAUGCAGCAACGCCGCGUGAAGGAUGAAGGUUUUCGGAUUGCAAACUUCUAUCGACAGGGACGAAGAACGUGACGGUACCUGAGUAAGAAGCCCCGGCUAACUACGUGCCAGCAGCCGCAGUAAAAC